GAAAUGCGAUAAGGAGUGUGAAUUGCAGAAUUACGUGAAUCAUCGAAUCUUUGAACGCACAUUGCGCCCUUUGGGAGGUCCAGUGGGCAUGCCUGUUCGAGCGUCAUUUUCCCCCAAUCUCAGGCACUGCUUGGUGAUGGGCGCUUGUCCCGCCCUGCUGCGCGCGGACUCGCCUCAAAACCAUUGGCGGCCGGCAUCCGUUUUUCGCACGCAGUAUACCGCGAGAGUGGAAUUAGGAAGCCCGGCGUCCACAAAAAGGGCCGCCACGAUUGACCUCGGAUCAGGUAGGGAUACCCGCUGAACUUAA
rnacentral:misc_RNA from 1 species